UUUAGAAAAUUAAAAGAAAUAAAGAAGGCAGACGAUAAUAUAAUUUUCAAAAGACAAAUUCUAUUUUUAUUUUAGAACUUAUUUUAAAAUUUAGAAUCGACGGAUAUUUAUCAGGGAUUGUGGACCCUUCGACAUAAAAAACGGUCCAGGUCCGGGUACAGGAAUAAAAUUUGAAAGGGCCCGGGUCCAGGGAACAUAAAAAUAAAAAGUAUCAUCAAAUGGCGAUAGUGACAAUCAAAUAAACACCUAUCUUCUUGAGCCGGUAGCGCCCGAGACAACUAACGUGCUAGAUUGGUGGAGAGGGAAUGAAAAUCGAUUUCCUCAUUUAGCUAAGAUGACGAGAGACUUUCUAUGCCAACAAACAACUUCCGUGGCAUCGGAAAGAACUUUUUCUCUUGCUGAAAAUACUAUUACUAAAUUGAGGAACAGGAUAACUCCCUCCACCCUAAAACAAUGCAUAUCGCUAUCAUCUUGGGAUAUAAAUAUAAUGGGCCUUCAUGACGAUAUAUGGCAAUAAUUUGUUAGGCAUAGCUGGAUUGUUGUAUGUAUGAUCAAUUCAAGUCUAUAACCACAAGCAAGACGCAUUCGAUUCAUGUUUAUAAUAUUGCA